UGGGGGAUAUUGCACAAUGGGCGAAAGCCUGAUGCAGCAACGCCGCGUGGGGGAUGAAGGCCUUCGGGUUGUAAACUUCUUUUGCUCUGAACAAGGCGCACCAUGGCGUGUGUUUAGUGUAGGGGUUGAUUAGCGCCGGCUAACUACGUGCCAGCAGCCGCGGUAAUACGUAGGGCGCGAGCGCUGUCCGGAAUUAUUGGGCGUAAAGGGCUCGUAGGUGGCUGGUUGCGUCUGUCGUGAAAGCUCAUGGCUUAACUGUGGGUUUGCGGUGGGUACGGGCUGGCUUGAGUGCAGUAGGAGAGGCUGGAAUUCCUGGUGUAGCGGUGGAAUGCGCAGAUAUCAGGAGGAAUACCGGUGGCGAAGGCGGGUCUCUGGGCUGUUACUGACGCUGAGGAGCGAAAGCAUGGGGAGCGAACAGG
rnacentral:rRNA from 1 species